rnacentral:lncRNA from 1 species
CCCCCGUUGCUUUUUUUAGACACUAAUUAAAAUAGUUAGAUAAGCGAAUGAAACCAAUUAAAGAACCACCUUCCUUCGAGAUCUUAUCUCUUAACCACUUUUCUAGACACCAGUCAAAAUAACUAACCCUAAUCGGAUCCAACUCUUGGGAUUCCUUGUCCUAAUGAGCUCAAGAGUUCUUAGAAGCCAACGUCUAAUUGAUUUUAAGUUAAAGGCUUAGGUCAAUGC